UCUAAUACCGGAUACGACCUGUSAAGGCAUCUUGACGGGUGGAAAGCUCCGGCGGUGAAGGAUGAGCCCGCGGCCUAUCAGCUUGUUGGUGGGGUAACGGCCCACCAAGGCGACGACGGG
rnacentral:rRNA from 1 species